rnacentral:rRNA from 1 species
AGAGUUUGAUUAUGGCUCAGGAUGAACGCUAGCGAUAGGCCUAACACAUGCAAGUCGAGGGGCAGCACAUGAAGUAGCAAUACGGAUGGUGGCGACCGGCGCACGGGUGAGUAACGCGUAUGCAACCUGCCUACAACAGGGGAAUAACCCGUUGAAAGACGGACUAAUACCCCAUAACACAGGGAUCCCGCAUGGGAAUAUUUGUUAAAGAUUUAUCGGUUGUAGAUGGGCAUGCGUUCCAUUAGCUUGUUGGUGAGGUAACGGCUCACCAAGGCAACGAUGGAUAGGGGAACUGAGAGGUUUAUCCCCCACACUGGUACUGAGACACGGACCAGACUCCUACGGGAGGCAGCAGUGAGGAAUAUUGGUCAAUGGACGCAAGUCUGAACCAGCCACGUCGCGUGAAGGAAGACGGCCCUACGGGUUGUAAACUUCUUUUGUAAGGGAAUAAAGUGCAGUACGUGUACUGUUUUGCAUGUACCUUACGAAUAAAGAUCGGCUAACUCCGUGCCAGCAGCCGCGGUAAUACGGAGGAUCCGAGCGUUAUCCGGAUUUAUUGGGUUUAAAGGGUGCGCAGGCGGGAGAUUAAGUCGGCGGUGAAAUUUUGCAGCUCAACUGUAAAAGUGCCUUCGAAACUGGUUUUCUUGAGUGUGGAUGAAGUGGGCGGAAUUUGUGGUGUAGCGGUGAAAUGCAUAGAUAUCACGAGGAACUCCGAUUGCGCAGGCAGCUUACUAAACCAUAACUGACGCUCAGGCACGAAGGCGUGGGGAUCAAACAGGAUUAGAUACCCUGGUAGUC